rnacentral:rRNA from 1 species
GACGAACGCUGGCGGCGUGCUUAACACAUGCAAGUCGAGCGGAAAGGCCCUGCUUUUGUGCGUUGCUCGAGUGCCGACCGCGCGCGUAACACGUGAGCAUCCUCCCCCUGCCUCUGGGAUAACUUCAGGCAACUGGGGCUAAUACCGGAUAGGCGUUCCUGCUGCAUGGUGGGGGCUGGAACGUUUCGGCGGUUGGGGAUGGACUCGCGGCUUUCCGGCUUGUUGGUGGGGUAGUGGCUUACCAAGGCUUUGACGGGUAGCCGCCCUGAGAGGGUGACCGGCCACAUUUGCACUGAGAUACGGCCCAGAGUCCUACGGGAUGCAGCAGUGGGGAAGGUUGCACAAUGGACGGAAGCCGGAUGCAGCAACGCCGCGUGCGGGAUGGCGGCCUUCUGGUUGGAAACCGCUUUCGCCUGGGACGGAGCGUGAUUGACGGUAAUGGGUAAAUAAGCACCGGCUAACUACGUG